CAUUCGCUGACCAGCGAAGAUCAGGGGCGCCAGAGGACAAGUCGUGACAGUCCUCAGGCCACGCCCACAUUCCCUGCCAGGUCCCUUGUUUGGCUGUGGAUACCCCCUCACACCCCUGGCCUUUCUUCUGAACUACUUGCGCGGUACCACGGUCCGUACCGGAUCAUCGACGUCUCGUCACCUGUAAACUAAAUCGUUGAGCCCGUCACACCAUCGCCGGACCUUCGUUGUCGGGGUCGCGAGACAGUGCAUGUUAGCCGGCUGAAGCCAUAUUACGACCACCUCAUCUUGUCUGCUCCCUGAGUCGCCGAGAUGGCUU
rnacentral:lncRNA from 1 species